rnacentral:lncRNA from 1 species
CUUUUUCUCUUUUUUUACUAAUAAUAACCAACUAAUACUUCUUUUAUGAGUUGUAUUAUAACUACCUUAUUCGCUGGUAAUAAUAAUUUAUUGGAUUUAAACCGUCGGUUCAAAAUAUUUAAGUUCAGUUAUUAUUAUUAAGCUUCGUGAUUUUUUCGAUAUAUAACUAUUGGAAUGUCACAGACUUUCUUAUUAGUCUAAUCAUAUAUACAAUUUAAGAUCAUAAGAAAAUACGAGAUCCGUUUCACACUUUUGAUUGAUGAACCAGCUCUGAUACCAAAUAUAACGAUCCGAUCCGUUGAUAAUAAUAACUUGUCGGGCCAAAAUUAAUGGCCCAAAAUGCUUAAGUCAAAUUAUUAAUAUUAGAAUUUAUAAUCUCUUAUAUAUCAAAUCAUAAUUUUAUUCCUAUUCACUA